AUUGAACGCUAGCGGCAGGCCUAACACAUGCAAGUCGAACGGAGCGGCGGACGGGUGAGUAAUGCCUCGGAACCUGCCUGGUAGUGGGGGAUAACUACCGGAAACGGGCGCUAAUACCGCAUACUAUCAGAUGAGCCGAGGUCGGAUUAGCUAGUGGGUGGGGUAAAGGCCUACCAAGGCGACGAUCCGUAACUGGUUUGAGAGGAUGGCCAGGCAAACUGUAACUGAGACACGGCCCAGACUCCUACGGGAGGCAGCAGUGGGGAAUUUUGGACAAUGGGGGAAAGCCUGAUCCAGCCAUGCCGCGUGUGUGAAGAAGGUCUUCGGAUUGUAAAGCACUUUAAGCAGGGAGGCGUUACCAACAGAAUAAGCACCGGCUAACUUCGUGCCAGCAGCCGCGGUAAUAC
rnacentral:rRNA from 1 species